rnacentral:tRNA from 1 species
GAGGGUAUAGCUCAGUGGUAGAGCGCAUGCUUAGCAUGCACAAAGUCCUAGGUUCAGUCCCCAGUGCCUCCA